GACAGAGGGUGCAAACGUUGUUCGGAAUUACUGGGCGUAAAGCGCGUGUAGGCGGCCAUGCAAGUCGGAUGUGAAAGCCCUCGGCUCAACCGGGGAAGUGCACUCGAAACUGCAAGGCUAGAGUCCCGGAGAGGAUCGUGGAAUUCUCGGUGUAGAGGUGAAAUUCGUAGAUAUCGAGAGGAACACCGGUGGCGAAGGCGGCGAUCUGGACGAGGACUGACGCUGAGACGCGAAAGCGUGGGGAGCAAACAGG
rnacentral:rRNA from 1 species